AAUGCAAUUAACCUGAAAGAAAUAGCGGAUCAAACCGAGGGCUACUCCGGCAGUGAUCUGAAAGAGCUUUGCAGGGACGCUGCCAUGUACCGCGUUAGAGACUAUGUCCGCAAACAGCAGAUGAAACAGAUCGCACAACAGUUCCAGCUGGAUGAAGAAGAGCAUGUGGACAGCACGCAGCUGAGGCCCGUGACUCAACUGGACCUGCUGUUUGGCCUAGAUAAGAUGAGAGAAUCCAAACAGGCCACAGCUACAGCUGACCCAGCAAAUCUGAGAGAGGUGCCUCUGGACUGAAAACCUCUCACUUUACACGCUCAUACACUCAUUUUAUCUCUCUCACUUCUUUCUUUCUGCCUCAUCUUUUGCCUUUCCUUUUUAAAUUAUUUUUCUUCGUCUUUCACAUUUGUUACAUCUUAAACAUUUUAAGUUUGCACUAUAAUGAAUUUACCGUCAGAUACUCAAGACAGUAACCAUGUGCAUAUUUAUAAUAACAGUAGUCAUUAAUAGUACACGCACACUAAAUGGAGUUUCAUUAUUCUUCAGCAUUUUAAAUUGUUUAAGUUAUUUCUGUUAUGAUCAACUAGAGAGGAAUAUAAACUUUGCUAUAUCUAUAAAUGUUUUAGUAAUCAGGACCAGGUUUCCUGAAACACUGAGUGUUGUCUAACUGUCUUAUUAGGAUGCAUGAGUAUUACACUAAUGUUAAACUGAAUAGUGCAUGUGUGACUUUGUCAACACCAAUUUAGCCAUGAUAAUAAUAAUAAUUUGUGUCAGGAACAUGUCUGGGUCAUAUUCAACCCAAAAUCAAAAGAA